rnacentral:rRNA from 1 species
AGAGUUUGAUCCUGGCUCAGAAUGAACGCUGGCGGCGUGCUUAACACAUGCAAGUCGUACGAGAACUCUUCUGCUUGCAGAAGAUAGUAAAGUGGCGCACGGGUGAGUAACGCGUGGGUAAUCUCCCUCUGACUCGGGGAUAACAUUGCGAAAGCGAUGCUAAUACCGGAUGACAUCAUGAAAAUCUUGGUUUUUAUGAUCAAAGGUGGCCUCUACAUGUAAGCUUCCGAUUAGAGAUGAGCCCGCGUACCAUUAGCUUGUUGGUGGGGUAACGGCCUACCAAGGCUGCGAUGGUUAGCUGGUCUGAGAGGAUGAUCCGCCACACUGGAACUGAGACACGGUCCAGACUCCUACGGGAGGCAGCAGUGGGGAAUUUUGCGCAAUGGACGAAAGUCUGACGCAGCAACGCCGCGUGAGUGAAGAAGGCUUUUGGGUCGUAAAGCUCUUUUCUGAGGGAAGAUCAAAGACGUACCUCAGAAUAAGCACCGCUAACU